GGGCCAUUAGCUCAGUCGGUAGAGCACCUGACUUUUAAUCAGGGCGUCGGAGGUUCGAUUCCUCCAUGGCUCA
rnacentral:tRNA from 2 species